rnacentral:rRNA from 1 species
GAUGAACGCUGGCGGCGUGCCUAAUACAUGCAAGUCGAGCGAACGGACCAGAAGCUUGCUCCUCUGAUGUUAGCGGCGGACGGGUGAGUAACACGUGGAUAACCUACCUAUAAGACUGGGAUAACUUCGGGAAACCGGAGCUAAUACCGGAUGAUAUUUUGAACCGCAUGGUUCAAAAGUGAAAGACGGUCUUGCUGUCACUUAUAGAUGGAUCCGCGCUGCAUUAGCUAGUUGGUAAGGUAACGGCUUACCAAGGCAACGAUGCAUAGCCGACCUGAGAGGGUGGUCGGCCACACUGGAACUGAGACACGGUCCAGACUCCUACGGGAGGCAGCAGUAGGGAAUCUUCCGCAAUGGGCGAAAGCCUGACGGAGCAACGCCGCGUGAGUGAUGAAGGUCUUCGGAUCGUAAAGCUCUGUUAUUAGGGAAGAACAUAUGUGUAAGUAACUGUGCACAUCUUGACGGUACCUAAUCAGAAAGCCACGGCUAACUACGUG